rnacentral:rRNA from 1 species
ACCAGACUCCUACGGGAGGCAGCAGUGGGGAAUAUUGCACAAUGGGGGAAACCCUGAUGCAGCGACGCCGCGUGAGCGAUGAAGUAUUUCGGUAUGUAAAGCUCUAUCAGCAGGGAAGAAAAUGACGGUACCUGACUAAGAAGCCCCGGCUAACUACGUGCCAGCAGCCGCGGUAAUACGUAGGGGGCAAGCGUUAUCCGGAUUUACUGGGUGUAAAGGGAGCGUAGACGGCGAUGCAAGCCAGAUGUGAAAGCCCGGGGCUCAACCCCGGGACUGCUUUGGAAACUGUAUGGCUGGAGUGCAGGAGAGGUAAGUGGAAUUCCUAGUGUAGCGGUGAAAUGCGUAGAUAUUAGGAGGAACACCAGUGGCGAAGGCGGCCUGCUGGACGAUGACUGACGCUGAGGCUCGAAAGCGUGGGGAGCAAACAGGAUUAGAUACCCCAGUA